rnacentral:rRNA from 1 species
UACGUAGGGGGCGAGCGUUGUCCGGAUUUAUUGGGCGUAAAGAGCGUGUAGGCGGCCAGGUAGGUCCGUUGUGAAAACUCGAGGCUCAACCUCGAGACGUCGAUGGAAACCAUCUGGCUAGAGUCCGGAAGAGGAGAGUGGAAUUCCUGGUGUAGCGGUGAAAUGCGCAGAUAUCAGGAGGAACACCGGUGGCGAAGGCGGGAUCCUGGGCCAGUACUGACGCUGAGGAGCGAAAGCGUGGGGAGCAAACAGG